rnacentral:rRNA from 1 species
CCAUCGGAUUCCCUAGUACUGCGAGUGAAGCGGGAAGAGCUCAAAUUUAAAAUCUGGCGGCCUUCUGGACGUCCGAGUUGUAGUCUGGAGAAGUGUUAUCCGCGUCGGACCGUGUACAAGUCUCCUGGAACGGAGCGUCAUAGAGGGUGAGAAUCCCGUCCAUGACACGGACGCCCGAUGCUAUGUGAGGCACUCUCGAAGAGUCGAGUUGUUUGGGAAUGCAGCUCAAAAUGGGUGGUAAAUUCCAUCUAAAGCUAAAUAUUGGCGAGAGACCGAUAGCGAACAAGUACCGUGAGGGAAAGAUGAAAAGCACUUUGGAAAGAGAGUUAAACAGUACGUGAAAUUGUUGAAAGGGAAACGCUUGAAGUCAGUCGCGUCCCGUGGAACUCAGCCUGGUUUCGACCUGGUGUACUUUCCAUGUGGACGGGUCAACAUCAAUUUCGGCCGGUGGACAAGGGCGAGGGGAAUGUAGCGUUGCUUCGGCGACGUGUUAUAGCCCCCCGUCGCAUACACUGGCUGGGAUCGAGGACCGCAGCACGCCCUUGUGGCCGGGGGUUCGCCCCACGUAACGUGCUUAGGAUGUUGGCAUAAUGGCUUUAAGCGACCCGUCUUGAAACAACGGACCA